rnacentral:lncRNA from 1 species
AUCGCCAAGUAUACCAUCAAUCUGUCUAUCACUAAAGAAAAUGGGAUUGCGUGCCCCACCACUAUCCAACUUUUCGAUACCUAAAAUUUGAUAUCUAAUGCACUUCAAUCUCAUUAGAUUCCAUUUUAUUUUAAAUGUUUUGAUACGUGAGCCUAUAUAUUUUUAUUUUGUUUUUUUAGCAUAAGGAACCCAUAGAAAUAGAAUUCUAUGAUUCAGUUUAAAUGUAUGAAAACUUAAUCUUAACAAGGGUAUAUGUGUGUCUAUAUAUGUGAGCCUGUAUAUUUUUGUAUUUUGGUUUUUUAGCUUUCUUGUUUAGAAAAGAAUUUCCAAAUGAAAACAAAAAAAAUAAAAAAAGGAAAUAAAAAUGCAUGCAUGCACCAAACGGUGCCCAAGCAAACACACGCAGCCCGGAACGACUUAUCCCAAUGCUCGGCCAUCGCUCCCCAUCCACCGUGUAUGCUAGGCAAACACAAGACAAGAUAAGAUUGUAUGUUUAUUUGUAUUGAUCUCUGUGUAAUGUAUGUGAUGGACCAUAAACUUGAAUUUGGGCUGCAUGUUUUCUCAUUGUAUUUUUUUAAAUAUUUGUAUUGUCCUGUUGAACGAUCUGACGCUAUAAAUACAUGGAUUGUUGGAUGAUCUGUCGGUAUAUGCUUGGUAAUGGAUCAUCGGUCGCUGAAACUUGACAACAGACUAUCUAUCGCUAUAGGUUGACGAUCUGUCGCUAAAGGUACUGUCUGAGGCUAAAAAUUCUUACCGGCAGGACUUACACCGGCAGCAAAAGUCUAUCGCUAUAAGUUUUUAGCGUCAGAUUGUCUGCCCUGUAACCGCUUUUGCCGUCAGAUCAUCUAUCACUAAUGUUGGUGCUAUGGUGUAGUGUAUCCAGUGGCA